UACGUAGGGUGCGAGCGUUAAUCGGAAUUACUGGGCGUAAAGCGUGCGCAGGCGGUUCGUUGUGUCUGAUGUGAAAGCCCCGGGCUCAACCUGGGAACUGCAUUGGAAACUAACGGGCUCGAGUGUGGCAGAGGGGGGUGGAAUUCCACGUGUAGCAGUGAAAUGCGUAGAGAUGUGGAGGAACACCGAUGGCGAAGGCAGCCCCCUGGGCUAACACUGACGCUCAGGCACGAAAGCGUGGGGAGCAAACAGG
rnacentral:rRNA from 1 species